GGGAUAUUGAAAUGUAUGCUGAGGAGGGAAGUUCAACUGACAAUUGCAAUGGUCACUAUAGAUGCUGUUGUGCAUCAAUAUUUGUCAAAUCCAAAAGUAUAUCAUUAUUAUAAGGGUUUCAUGGUGAUUCUAAGGCUCAAUUGCAGUACCAAUGCAUGUCUUUAUGUCAAGUCUAAUUGAUUUUAAAUAAAUGGAUGCGCCCAUGGGACACAGAUGAUGCCCCUUCUUACAUAUGGUUAUAAGGGGCAUAACUGAAGAACUGUCGAAAUGAAGCCACCAAAAUUCUUGAUCUGAGUUUUGUAGUGAAAAGCAUUUUGUAAAAUAGUUUCAGAACAUGUACUCUAGUUGAGGAAAACUUAGAGAACAGAAAACCAAUUUUGUGACUUUAGAACCGACAGACAAGAAUUCACACUUCAUGCCCCCUCAGGCAUGACAAAUAUUUUAUUAUCAGCCUUACAUUUUGAUCUUAACAAACAAGAUCAGUCAGUAUUUUGAGAGAAUUUUUACCUAUUUUUCAAGGUUCAUUCUG
rnacentral:lncRNA from 1 species